rnacentral:rRNA from 1 species
AGUGAACGCUGGCGGUAGGCCUAACACAUGCAAGUCGAACGGCAGCACAGUAAGAGCUUGCUCUUACGGGUGGCGAGUGGCGGACGGGUGAGGAAUACAUCGGAAUCUACUUUUUCGUGGGGGAUAACGUAGGGAAACUUACGCUAAUACCGCAUACGACCUACGGGUGAAAGCAGGGGAUAUUCGGACCUUGCGCGAUUGAAUGAGCCGAUGUCGGAUUAGCUAGUUGGCGGGGUAAAGGCCCACCAAGGCGACGAUCCGUAGCUGGUCUGAGAGGAUGAUCAGCCACACUGGAACUGAGACACGGUCCAGACUCCUACGGGAGGCAGCAGUGGGGAAUAUUGGACAAUGGGCGCAAGCCUGAUCCAGCCAUACCGCGUGGGUGACGAAGGCCUUCGGGUUGUAAAGCCCUUUUGUUGGGAAAGAAAAGCAGCAGGUUAAUACCCCGCUGUUCUGACGGUACCCAACGAAUAAGCACCGGCUAACUUCGUG